ensembl:lncRNA
AUGCUUAAUGUUACACUGUCAGAUAUGCAAAAGAAAUCUAUUGUAUCUCUUUCUCUGGCUACUGUGUAUAGACCACCAGGGCCAUAUACAGAAUUCCUAAAAGAAUUUGGAGAUUUCCUCUCAGACCUGUUGGUUACCGCUGAUAAAGCGCUAAUUUUCGGAGAUUUUAACAUUCAUAUUGAUAAUACAAAUGAUGCAUUAGGACUUGCGUUUACUAACUUAUUAAACUGUUUUGGAGUAAAGCAAAAUGUCACCGGGCCCACUCAUCGUUUUAAUCAUACGCUAGAUUUAAUUAUAUCGCAUGGAAUCGAUCUUACUGACAUAGAUAUCGUACCUCAAAGUGAUGAUGUUACUGACCAUUUCCUUGUAUCGUGCAUUUUGCGUAUUGAUGAUAAUAACUAUAUAGCUUCGCGUUAUCGUCCGGGCAGAACUAUUGUUCCAGCCACCAAAGACAGAUUCGCAAAUAACCUGCCUGAUUUAUCUCAACUGCUCUGUGUACCCAUAAAUACACAUGAACUAGACAAAAUGACUGGCAACAUGGGCACUAUCUUCUCUAAUACAUUAGAAGCUGUUGCCCCCAUCAAAUUGAAAAAGGUUAGAGAAAAACGUACUGUGCCAUGGUACAACAGUAAUACCCACGCUCUCAAGAAAGAAACUCGUAGUCUUGAGCGCAAAUGGAGAAAAACUAACUUGGAAGUUUUUAGAAUUGCGUGGAAAAACAGUAUGUCCAGCUAUAGACAGGCUCUAAAAACUGCCAGGGUCGAGUAUAUCCACAAACUCAUAGAAAACAACCAAAACAAUCCAAGGUUUUUAUUUAGCACAGUGGCUAGGUUAACAAAUAACCAGACGCCACCCGAUCUAAAUAUUCCCUCACAGUUAAAUAGUAAUGACUUUAUGAAUUUCUUCACUGAUAAAAUAGAUAACAUCAGAAAUACAAUAACAAAUGUAGAUUCUACAGCGUCUAAUACUUUAGUUUUAUCCAUCGCACCCAAAGAUAAACUGCAGUGCUUUACAACUAUAGGACAGGAAGAGCUAAAUAAAUUUAUCACUGCAUCUAAACCAACAACAUGUUUAUUAGAUCCUGUACCCACUAAAUUACUGAAAGAGUUGUUACCUGUAGCAGAAAAACCGCUUCUCAAUAUUAUUAACUUGUCGUUAUCUUUAGGUCACGUCCCAAAACCAUUCAAGCUGGCGGUUAUUAAAACUCUUAUUAAGAAACCACAACUAGAUCCUAGUGAACUGGCAAAUUACAGACCCAUUUCAAAUCUUCCGUUAAUGUCUAAAAUUUUAGAAAAAGUUGUCUGCUCAAUUGUGCUCCUUCCUGCAAAAAAAUGA